rnacentral:rRNA from 1 species
CAUGCAAGUCGAACGGCAGCACAGGAGAGCUUGCUCCUCUGGGUGGCGAGUGGCGGACGGGUGAGGAAUACAUCGGAAUCUACCUUUUCGUGGGGGAUAACGUAGGGAAACUUACGCUAAUACCGCAUACGACCUACGGGUGAAAGUGGGGGACCGCAAGGCCUCACGCGAUUAGAUGAGCCGAUGUCCGAUUAGCUAGUUGGCGGGGUAAUGGCCCACCAAGGCGACGAUCGGUAGCUGGUCUGAGAGGAUGAUCAGCCACACUAGAACUGAGACACGGUCCAGACUCCUACGGGAGGCAGCAGUGGGGAAUAUUGGACAAUGGGCGCAAGCCUGAUCCAGCCAUACCGCGUGGGUGAAGAAGGCCUUCGGGUUGUAAAGCCCUUUUGUUGGGAAAGAAAUCCUGUCGAUUAAUACUCGGUGGGGAUGACGGUACCCAAAGAAUAAGCACCGGCUAACUUCGUGCCAGCAGCCGCGGUAAUACGAAGGGUGCAAGCGUUACUCGGAAUUACUGGGCGUAAAGCGUGCGUAGGUGGUGGUUUAAGUCUGCUGUGAAAGCCCUGGGCUCAACCUGGGAAUUGCAGUGGAUACUGGGUCACUAGAGUGUGGUAGAGGGAUGCGGAAUUUCUGGUGUAGCAGUGAAAUGCGUAGAGAUCAGAAGGAACAUCCGUGGCGAAGGCGGCAUCCUGGGCCAACACUGACACUGAGGCACGAAAGCGUGGGGAGCAAACAGGAUUAGAUACCCAGGUAGUCCACGCCCUAAACGAUGCGAACUGGAUGUUGGGUGCAACUUGGCACCCAGUAUCGAAGCUAACGCGUUAAGUUCGCCGCCUGGGGAGUACGGUCGCAAGACUGAAACUCAAAGGAAUUGACGGGGGCCCGCACAAGCGGUGGGAGUAUGUGGUUUUAAUUCGAUGCAACGCGA